GACGAACGCUGGCGGCGUGCUUAACACAUGCAAGUCGAACGGAAAGGCCCUGCUUUUGUGGGGUGCUCGAGUGGCGAACGGGUGAGUAACACGUGAGUAACCUGCCCUUGACUUUGGGAUAACUUCAGGAAACUGGGGCUAAUACCGGAUAGGAGCUCCUGCUGCAUGGUGGGGGUUGGAAAGUUUCGGCGGUUGGGGAUGGACUCGCGGCUUAUCAGCUUGUUGGUGGGGUAGUGGCUUACCAAGGCUUUGACGGGUAGCCGGCCUGAGAGGGUGACCGGCCACAUUGGGACUGAGAUGCGGCCCAGAGUCCUACGGGAGGCAGCAGUGGGGAAUAUUGCACAAUGGGCGGAAGCCUGAUGCAGCAACGCCGCGUGCGGGAUGACGGCCUUCGGGUUGGAAACCGCUUUCGCCUGUGACGAAGCGUGAGUGACGGUAAUGGGUAAAGAAGCACCGGCUAACUACGUG
rnacentral:rRNA from 1 species